UAAGGAAUAUUGGACAAUGGAGGCAACUCUGAUCCAGCCAUGCCGCGUGAAGGAAUAAGGCCCUAUGGGUUGUAAACUUCUUUUAGACGGGACAAAACCCCUUUACGUGUAAAGGGUUGAUGGUACUGUCAGAAUAAGCAUCGGCUAACUUCGUGCCAGCAGCCGCGGUAAUACGGAGGGUGCAAGCGUUAUCCGGAUUCACUGGGUUUAAAGGGUGCGUAGGUGGGUAUGUAAGUCAGUGGUGAAAUCCCCGAGCUUAACUUGGGAACUGCCACUGAUAGUAUAUAUCUGGAAUACCGUAGAGGGAAGCGGAAUAUGUCAUGUCGGGGGGAAAUGCUUAGAGAUGACAUGGAAAACCAAUUGCGAAGGCAGCU
rnacentral:rRNA from 1 species